ensembl:lncRNA
UUCUUUGCCUCUUUUCAGCAGAAAUUCUUCUGAUUCACCUCUUUUCUGCCAAAUGUUUAGCUUUUUCACCUCUUAUCAGCACAAUUCUAAGCAGCUUCUGCUAAUUUCACCACAAUUGUCACUCUCUCCACCUCUUCUUUGUGUGAAUGAGUUUGGUGCAGUGAGGUGAAUUGCUGCCUUUAGACCAGAAGGGCCAGGUUCGAAUCCUGCUCUGGGCAAUGUUUUUUUUUUUUUUUCAACUUUUUCAGCUUUUUUCAGCAGACAUCUUCAGCAUUAAGGCAUCCACACAGCAUUUUCGCAGGAAAUGCAAAUUUUUCUAGUUCUUUAUCCUUUAUUAUUCUUCAAGUUGCCACUUUCUUUGCCGCUUAACUACUCCCUCAGUUUUCAGCCGUUUUUCACCAUUCAAACUCUAAACUGUUCAGCUCUUUCUCCUGAUGCCUGCUAUGACUUUUGGUAGUCAUAACUUUUAUACUUUUUCAGAUAUUAAGCUUUUUAUGUCAUUUUUUGGCCCAUUUUGCUGAAUAGGACCACAUUAUCAGUGUGAUCACAAGUUUUGUUUGCUUGGCUAAGCCAUGUUUUAGCUCAGUGAGAUAAGCAGCCGUUCUCAGAGUAGGAGGCCCGGGUUCAAAUCCAGGUUGUGGCAACAUUUCUUUCACUUAACAGUUAAACUUUUUUAACUCUUUUCAACACAAAUUUCAGCUUUUUCACCGCUUAUCAGCACAGUUUUCAGUUUUUUCUGCUGUUUUCAGCACAAAUCCAAGCUUUUUAAGCUGUUUUCAGCAAAAAACCUCUUUUCAGCAGAUUUCUGCUCAUUCAACUCUUUUCAGCAGAAAUUCUGCUCAUUCAACUCUUUUCAGCAGAAAUUCUUCUUAUUCACCUCUUAUCAGCACAAUUCUCAGCCUCUUCUGCUCAUUUCAGCACAAUUAUCAGUCUCUCCACCUCUUCUUUGUCAGAAAGAUGUUGUCGCAGUGAGAUGAGAACCUGCUUUGAGUACCAGAAGGGCCAGGUUUGAAUCCUGCUCAGAGCAACAUUUUUUGCUUUUUUUUUUUCAAUUUUUUCAGCUUUUUUCAGCAGAUAUCUUCAGCGUUAAGGCAUCCACACAGCAUUUUCGCAGGAAAUGCAAAUUUUUCUAGUUGACCUUUGCUUCACAGUAAAUAAAUGCACUGUUAUUAAACCAGUUCUAACUACUAACUACUUUAGCUAUCUUUGUUUCCUAAAAUAGACAGAGUCACAAUUUAUAUUGAUCCAAACUUAUUUAAACAAAGGUCUGAGACAAAUUAAAAACUAGAUGUUGCAGUACUUGGCUCAUUCUUCUUCUCCUUAGUGGGCCUCACCACCACUGGUGCAGGGCCAUUAGCUUGCAGCUACUUUUUCAAAAUUUGAAGCAGAGCAUCUUAGCAGCUGACAUUUAAGAUUACCUUUGGACAAAAUAAUGCAAAUGCUUACACACUGCCAUAGAGCUGCCUGACCUGACUGACAAAA